rnacentral:rRNA from 1 species
AACGAACGCUGGCGGCGUGCCUAACACAUGCAAGUCGAGGGAGAAAGCCCGCAAGGGUUAGUAAACCGGCGAACGGGUGCGUAACACGUGGAUAAUCUACCUCGGUGACCGGGACAACUGGCCGAAAGGCUUGCUAAUACCGGAUAAGCCCACGACGUUCACGGACGUCGAGGGAAAAGGCGGCCUCUGCAUGCAAGCUGUCACAUCGAGAUGAGUCCGCGGCCCAUCAGCUAGNGGCGGGGUAAUGGCCCACCAAGGCGACGACGGGUAGCUGGUCUGAGAGGAUGAUUAGCCACACUGGAACUGAGACACGGUCCAGACUCCUACGGGAGGCAGCAGGUGGGGAAUCUUGCGCAAUGGGCGAAAGCCUGACGCAGCAACGCCG